rnacentral:Y_RNA from 1 species
GGCUGCUCUCAGUGCAGCGGUGUUUUCAACUAAUUGAUCACAACCAGUUACAAAUUUCUUUGUUCCUUCUCCACUCCCACUGCUUCACUUUACUAGCCUUAA